ensembl:lncRNA
GUACCUGGUUGUUGGGGCUGAGGUUGAGUGAGGUGUGUGUACCUGGUUGUUGGGGCUGAUGUUGAGUGAGGCGUGUGUACCUGGUUGUUGGGGCUGAGGUUGAGUGAGGCGUGUGUACCUGGUUGUUGGGGCUGAGGUUGAGUGAGGUGUGUGUACCUGGUUGUUGGGGCUGAGGUUGAGUGAGGUGUGGUUACCUGGUUGUUGGGGCUGAGGUUGAGUGAGGUGUGUGUACCUGGUUGUUGGGGCUGAGGUUGAGUGAGGUGUGUGUACCUGGUUGUUGGGGCUGAGGCUGAGUGAGGUGUGUGUACCUGGUUGUUGGGGCUGAGGUUGAGUGAGGUGUGUGUACCUGGUUGUUGGGGCUGAGGUUGAGUGAGGUGUGUGUACCUGGUUGUUGGGGCUGAGGUUGAGUGAGGUGUGUGUACCUGGUUGUUGGGGCUGAGGUUGAGUGAGGUGUGUGUACCUGGUUGUUGGGGCUGAGGUUGAGUGAGGUGUGUGUACCUGGUUGUUGGGGCUGAGGUUGAGUGAGGUGUGGUUGUUGGGGCUGAGGUUGAGUGAGGGGUGUGUACCUGGUUGUUGGGGCUGAGGUUGAGUGAGGUGUGUAUACCUGGUUGUUGGGGCUGAGGUUGAGUGAGGGGUGUGUACCUGGUUGUUGGGGCUGAGGUUGAGUAAUCUCCAUGAUGAGUACAUGAGGUCAGAGAAGUGGUAAAGAACACGUAGUCUGGCCCGGACUGCC